GCUUUUGAUCCUUCUUCUCUAUUAGAUCCUAAGCUAUUUGCCUAUUACUUCUAUGUCAUAAAUAUUGCUAGUAGAGGCUCAUCUCUGUGCACAACACAUAUUCAGAAAGUGGCUAACUUAUUGACUGUCCACUCUGAAACCAAAUCUGAGGCUGAGGCAUGCCAUGGCUAUUCCCUUGAAAAAAUUCCACCCUACUUCACAAAAAGUGAAAUUUCUAUAAUUAUUGUCUACAAAAAUUGGCUUUACUUUAUAAGCUGAGCCAUCAGUGCCCGAAAUAUUUCAAAAAUAAAGCAAAGAUGAAGGAAAGAUUUUUGUUCUUCUUUGCUAUUCAUAAUAACCAAAAUUAUAUGUAAAAACUUAAGGAUACGUGGUUACCCAGAGGGAGGAAAAACUUCUAGUGUAGAUUGAACACCACCCUUUCUUUCUCUUUCUCAUCCCCUUGAGUUAGCUGCCAUCCUACUUCACCCUAGCAUGUUGAAGUUAUGCAUCACACUGAACUAGACAAUACCGGGAAGGAGGUGGGUGGAAACUGGAGAGGGUUGUGGACACAGCACAUUGAGGCAUAUUGGAGCCUGAAUGAGGCAGAAAGAGCAAAGAAUUCUAGGGUUAUUUACUUUCUCAAAUAUUCCCAAAGUCUGUGACAGUCUUUACUAUCUAUCUCAGCAAUGCAAGGGAACUUUGGAGAAAGUGCAGAGAGAAGUCACUUUUAGAUCAAGUUCCCGUGUAUGCUCUUUCUGUCCUUCUUACUGUCGUAUCUCAGAGUAACUUUAGGGAUGGCAGUGAGGUUUACCUCUCUGAACAUGAAUAUUUGGCUGGUAGAUUGCUGCUGAGUAAGCUAAAGGACUUCUCUCUGUGAAGGUGCACUAUUGUGAGCUGGUCGAGAUUUUCUGACUAUGAAUAGAGAUGAUUUCUUUGGCACCUUCCAUGAAGUUCUACUUCAGAAUUUCUUUUUUGAUGCACUUUUUCUCAAGGAGAAGUGUCUAAAUCUGGGCACUGGCAAAAGUGGUGGAGACUUAAUCAUUGUUGCACUAAGACCUCCCCUCUCUUGCUCCUGCUGCGGUGAUGUUGGAAGCCUCUCAUCCACGGCUUUCAUGAAGCUAUUUAGUCUGGAGCGGUGGGGAUGCACAAGGAUCCUUCUGCUGCUUCCAUCAUCUCUUGGAGAGCUGUUUGCAGGUGGUCACAGGAAACUUGUUCUCCAUCCUAUCAAACAAGAUAAGGGAAUGUCUGGUCACAUAAAGGACAUAUAAACAAAGAAGACCUACUAAGCAGAAGGGGAUAAAUGAUUGGGUUUGUCUGACUUCACACAUGCACAAGGUAAA